rnacentral:lncRNA from 1 species
CUCUUGGGGAUGAUGGAUCCUUUGUCCCCAGAGCCGCGUUCUGUCUGCAUCCCAUCAGUCCUUGGUGAGUCCCCACUAUGGUGGCAGGGAUUCCCAUGCUGUGUGGCUGCAUUCCUAGCCAUGGCCAACAGGUGGCAGUGCAGCCUGUGCCAUGAGACAGCUCAAGGCUCCCACAGCAGGGCGGGCUUCAGUGGAAUGCCCUCACUCUGGGUUAAUGGCCCCUUUUAGAGACCAUA